AAUCCGUCGAUUUCAAAAAUCGUGAGGGUUCAAGUCCCUCUAUCCCCAA
rnacentral:tRNA from 1 species